UACGUAGGGUGCGAGCGUUGCCCGGAUUUAUUGGGCGUAAAGGGCGCGUAGGCGGCCACGCACGUCCGUUGUGAAAUCGCCCGGCUCAACUGGGCGGGGUCAGCGGAUACGGUGUGGCUCGAGCAAGCUAGGGGGCAAUGGAACUCCCGGUGUAGUGGUGGAAUGCGUAGAGAUCCGGAAGAACACCGGUGGCGAAGGCGGCCUGCUGGGCAGUUGCUGACACUGAGGCGCGACAGCGUGGGGAGCAAACAGG
rnacentral:rRNA from 1 species